AGUGAACGCUGGCGGUAGGCCUAACACAUGCAAGUCGAACGGCAGCACAGUAAGAGCUUGCUCUUACGGGUGGCGAGUGGCGGACGGGUGAGGAAUACAUCGGAAUCUACUUUUUCGUGGGGGAUAACGUAGGGAAACUUACGCUAAUACCGCAUACGACCUACGGGUGAAAGCAGGGGAUCUUCGGACCUUGCGCGAUUGAAUGAGCCGAUGUCGGAUUAGCUAGUUGGCGGGGUAAAGGCCCACCAAGGCGACGAUCCGUAGCUGGUCUGAGAGGAUGAUCAGCAACACUGGAACUGAGAAACGUGCCAAACUCCUACGGGAGGCAGCAGUGGGGAAUAUGGGACAAUGGGCGCAAGCCUGAUCCAGCCAUACCGCGUGGGUGAAGAAGGCCUGCGGGUUGUAAAGCCCUUUUGUUGGGAAAGAAAAGCAGCAGGUUAAGACCCCGCUGUUCUGACGGGACCCAAAGAAGAAGCACCGGCUAACUUCGU
rnacentral:rRNA from 1 species